CAUGCUUCUCUCCAGCCUUCUGAGGGUGGUCGUAGCUUCACUGUGUUUCGGAUCCAGUAUUGCCCAGAAAGUAACUCAAGACCAACCACCAAUGUCAGUGCAAGAGAAAGAAACUGUGACCCUGGAUUGCACAUACAACACCAGUGAUACAACUUACAGUCUGUUCUGGUACAAGCAAUACAGCAGUGGGGCGAUGACCUUCCUCACUCGCCAGGACUCUCAUAACAAGCAAAAUGCCACAGAAGGCCGCUACUCAUUGAAUUUCCAGAAGGCAAGCAAAUUCAUCAAACUUACCAUCUCAGCUUCACAGCUGGAGGACUCUGCAGUGUAUUUCUGUGCACUGAGGGAGCCCACAGUGAGGGGUGUGCAGGAUGGACCUGCACCAAAACCCAGAGUUCUAAUGAUACACCCACCUGCGGUAGGACCAGGGUGGGGAAUUGCCUUCACAGACAGGAGUGGUUAG